UACGUAGGGUGCAAGCGUUAAUCGGAAUUACUGGGCGUAAAGCGUGCGCAGGCGGUUCGGAAAGAGAGGUGUGAAAUCCCAGGGCUUAACCUUGGAACUGCACUUCUAACUACCGGGCUAGAGUACGUCAGAGGGGGGUAGAAUUCCACGUAUAGCAGUGAAAUGCGUAGAGAUGUGGAGGAAUACCGAUGGCGAAGGCAGCCCCCUGGGAUGAUACUGACGCUCAUGCACGAAAGCGUGGGGAGCAAACAGG
rnacentral:rRNA from 1 species